rnacentral:rRNA from 1 species
UACGGAAGGCAGCAGUGGGGAAUAUUGCACAAUGGGCGCAAGCCUGAUGCAGCCAUGCCGCGUGUAUGAAGAAGGCCUUCGGGUUGUAAAGUACUUUCAGUCGUGAGGAAGGUGUUAAGGUUAAUAACCUUAGCAAUUGACGUUAGCGACAGAAGAAGCACCGGCUAACUCCGUGCCAGCAGCCGCGGUAAUACGGAGGGUGCGAGCGUUAAUCGGAAUUACUGGGCGUAAAGGGCACGCAGGCGGUUAAUUAAGUUGGAUGUGAAAUCCCCGGGCUUAACCUGGGAAUGGCAUUCAAGACUGGUUAGCUAGAGUCUUGUAGAGGGGGUAGAAUUCCAUGUGUAGCGGUGAAAUGCGUAGAGAUGUGGAGGAAUACCGGUGGCGAAGGCGGCCCCUGGGACAAAGACUGACGCUCAUGUGCGAAAGCGUGGGGAGCGAAA